GUGAAGAGAUUGGUGAAAUAAAUACUGCAAGAUUCCUUUAGAAAAUAAUAGGAUGAGGAGAAAAAGAUGAGGUGCUGGAGAAGCUUUUCAAAAGACCAGAACUAACUGCAGUGAUACUAAAUUCAAGCUAAAACUAUUCUUCAAACUUUCUGGCUACCUUCACACUUGCGAAGCACCCUAAUGUUAAGCGUAUGGUUUCUGCCGAUCAAGGAAGGAAAGUUGAGAGAGCAGCGGAUCAAGAUCAGCAUUCAUAGUCAUGGAGUAUGGUUGGAGAAAAACACAAAUUACGAAAUCUGGGAAAGAAUCAGGGCAACCAUCGC